ensembl:lncRNA
GUCAGUCAGAUUUCUUAAGUAUUUCAAGUUGUUUGUCUUUGUAAAGCUGUUGUGUUAUUAAAUAAAUUGUUUUCUGCACCCUUCUAAUUUGAAAAAAAUUAGUGUUCAACACAGGUUCAAAUUGCUAUCCAGCUAGGAAUAAUUGAAUAGGGCCCCAGUUGUAUUUUGUUGGUUUUCAGAACUGGGGCCAUGAUUAAGAGGCACAGUAAGUGGCAUUUGUAUUAUGCCACUAGAGGUGAAAUUCUUAGAGCAGAACAAGAGAAAUCAGGGGGAAAGCAUUUCAUGUUUUCUAGAAUUCUACUCAAAAGCUCUAUACCUUAGUUCAGGCCCUUAUCAACUCUCACUCAGACUACUAUUGUAGCCUCCUAAUUAAUCACCUUGCCUCUAGUUUCUCCACUCUCUAAUCCAUCCUGCCAAAUUAUAUUCCUAAAGCCCUAGUGUGACCAUAUCACUCCCCUGCUCAAGAAGUAUCAGUGACUCCCUAUUGCUUUUAGACAAAAUAUUCUAACUGGCAUUUUGAGCACUUUACAAAUUUGGCUCCAACUUUCAUUUUUAGGCUAAUUUCUUUCUAUCUUCUAGCUAGAAGAAAAUCAUUUGUUUGCCAUUUCUCCCAUUCUAGACAUCCCAUUUCAUGUGACAGAACUGUUCCCUUAAUGCCUUCUUGGCUCUGCUCUUGUGGAACCCCAAACUCCCAUCAGUAAAUCAGGCAAUCAGGACUUGCUCUAUGGAGAGGUGAUGUAGGUGGAUGUCCACAUAGGUUUUAUAACUUGGCAGAUGUGACAAGUCCACCUACUCCCCAGAUAUCAGUGAAAAAGAUGGGAAGAUGACCCCUACAAGCAAAACACCUGACUCUACCACAUACCGUGUUACUAUAGGACCAUGUCAGGGGCCACUGCUCUCCUUGCUUUUCCCCACAGGUGGGAGACAAGAGCAUGGAUAUGGAGUUGAGUGGAAAGUGAAGAGUCGAAGAUGACUUCAUCGUUUUGAACCUGAGUGAUUGGAAGGAUAAAGAAGAAGUCAAGAAAAGAGAGGACACAAAAUGGUUUAGAGCCAUUACCUUUUUUUAGGCAUUCUUAUUCUGGGAUCUAUAAACUUGUUUUAUUAAAAAAUAUUUUGAAAACUAUUUCAAUGUAAUUUUCUUCAUACUUUCUAUGCAUUUUAUUUUAUGCAUUUAAAAACAUUAAUUUGAGAUGGGUUAAUAGGCUUCACUAGACUGCAAGACGCGUCUGUUGAUGGUUUAUCUCUUAACAUCAGUACUUUCUUAGGACAGGAUAGAUGCUGGGACAAAAUGAGGCACUUGCAAGACUGAACAUUUAACAUGAGGAGGUUUACUUAACCCUAACGCAUCAAGGAUAUGUAGCAAGUAUACUGUGACAGUUUCUCUUGACAUUGUCCCUUCUCUUCUCCCAAUUUCCACUUGAAAAUCUAGAUUAGCAGAGUAGGGUAGGAUGUGACUCGUGUGGGCUUCAGAAAUCCACCAAGGGAAAAGGAAUCUAGAUCCACAUGGCAGAACUAUCUAUUCCCUUAGAUGACCAAAAUGCAGCAGCCAUGAAGGAAACCAGGGGCUACCAAGUCCCAGGGCCAGCUUUGUUGUAGGCCUACCCCAAAUUGGUUGGUACAGAGAGGGAGAAGAUAAUGAAAUGGCACCAGAGAAGCCAGGGCAAUCAAGGAGACUUAUCAGGUCCCAGAGGCAGCCUCCCCAAAUUGUGGGUGGAAGGAAGGAAGCUAUGUCGGAGACACACUGGUCCUAUUACAGGUCCAUGACCCCCCAAAAAGAUUAAGAAAUCCCUGCCUCACUUGAUUCCCACAACAGCUUUGCUAGGUAAAGUACUGCAGGUACUAUUAUAGCCAUUUAUAGAUGGGGAAAUUAAUACUGUGAGAAGUUAAGUAAUUCAGCCAUAAUC